rnacentral:rRNA from 1 species
GCUUGAGCACGUAGGUGGGUUUGUAAGUCAGAUGUGAAAGCCUUCUGUUCGACGGAAGAAUUGCAUCUGAAACUACAAGUCUUGAGUGUAGGAGGGGAGAAUGGAACUUCUGGUGGAGCGGUGAAAUCCGUAGAUAUCAGAAGGAACGCCGGCGGCGAAAGCGAUUCUCUGGCCUAUUACCGACACUCAGUGUGCGAAAGCUAGGGGAGCAAACGGGAUUAGAUACCCCGGUAGUCCUAGCCGUAAACGAUGGGCACUAAGUAGAGGGGAUUACCGACGUUCUCUCUGCCGUAGCUAACGCAUUAAGUGCCCCGCCUGGGGAGUACGGCCGCAAGGCUAAAACUCAAAAGAAUUGACGGGGGCUCGCACAAGCGGUGGAGCAUGUGGCUUAAUUCGAUGCAACGCGAAGAACCUUACCGGGGCUUGACAUGGUAGAAGUAGGAACCCGAAAGGGUAACGAACGGUAUCCAGUCCGUGACUAUCACAGGUGUUGCAUGGCUGUCGUCAGCUCGUGUCGUGAGACGUUGGGUUAAGUCCCCUAACGAGCGAAACCCUUGUUUUUAGUUACCAGCGGGUUAUGCCGGGUACUCUAGAAAGACUGCCGUCGUCAAGACGGAGGAAGGUGGGGAUGACGUCAAGUCAUCAUGGCCCUUAUGCCCCGGGCUGCACACGUGCUACAAUGGUCGGUACAAACGGAAGCGAAGCCGAGAGGUGAAGCGAAUCCAAGC